rnacentral:rRNA from 1 species
UAGGGAAUCUUCCGCAAUGGACGAAAGUCUGACGGAGCAACGCCGCGUGAGUGAAGAAGGAUUUCGGUUCGUAAAACUCUGUUGUUAGGGAAGAAAAAAUGUAUAGUAACUAUAUACAAAAGAGACGGUACCUAACCAGAAAGCCACGGCUAACUACGUGCCAGCAGCCGCGGUAAUACGUAGGUGGCAAGCGUUGUCCGGAAUUAUUGGGCGUAAAGCGCGCGCAGGUGGUUUAGAAAGUCGGAUGUGAAAGCCCACGGCUCAACCGUGGAGGAUCAUUGGAAACUAAUAAACUUGAGUGCAGGAGAGAAAAGUGGAAUUCCUAGUGUAGCGGUGAAAUGCGUAGAGAUUAGGAGGAACACCGGUGGCGAAAGCGGCUUUUUGGCCUGCAACUGACACUGAGGCGCGAAAGCGUGGGGAGCAAACAGG